rnacentral:rRNA from 1 species
AUGCUAGUCUCAUGGGAAAUCUGGAAAGAAAGGAAUGCUCGUGUCUUCAGGGGCACCGCGGUGCCGGUGGGGGUUAUUGUUGCUAAAAUUAAAGAUGAGUACAAGUUGUGGUGUUUCGCGGGGGCUAAGUGCUUGAGUAAUGUAAUGCCGCGAGAGUAA